rnacentral:snoRNA from 1 species
AGAACAGUGAUGACCACAGCAUGCCAUCUUUUGUGUAAGCGUAUGUGUGUGGAGGGGAUG